UCAGGUAGCUUUUCUGCAUCUAAAAGAGGUCUUGAAGAUACCUUCAGAGAAAUGCCAGCAAAAGUUGUAGUCAUCUGGGGAAGAAUGAGUCUGGAAAACAAAUACGCAGUGGACUAGCACCAAGAGGUUAAUGGCUGUGACUGGCCUGUGAGAAGAGUGAGGAGAAAUGACUUCAGUGGCCCCACAGGAGUUCAGAGCAGAGAAAAGGGCUUCAUCAGGUCUGGCACUGUUCUUGGGCACCAAGUCCCUCGUCUACCACCAGAGAAAGUUCAAAACGCAUGAAUGAUCCUGAGAUAAAGCCAAUGAGCACUUCUUAACCAGGGAGGGAGUCACAGUCCACCUCACUUCCCUAGGAUGCCCUCCAACGCUGUGCUGAUCUCUGGACCUGUUGUGAGGGCAGCUCAGAGUCUAAUCUCCUACUCCUCUAUGUUCUUGCCUCCGAUGUCCACAGCUAUCAGAACUAGUGCAUUUUCUUUUGUGGGAGCUCUCAAUGACCUUUUAUAUAUUCCAUAGACACAGAGUCUGCCUAGUUGAUCGUGUGGA